GCUAAAUGGAAUUCAGCCUUCAUUAGUUUUAUUAUUUACACCCGUGCUUUUCUGCUGUGAAAAAGGCCUAUUGAGAUAUCAUGAUAUACAGUUAGGUUAUUCUGAUCCAAAGGCCCAUCCCAGGUGUCAUCGGUUUCUAUCUGAUUAGACCUCCGCUCAGGUUAAAGGUGGUUGGAGCUGCUCUAUGCAGGGGGUUACUGAUGGCCCCAGGACUCUGUGUACAUUUUAUGAUAACUGUGUAGUUUUAGGCGCGAAUACAAGUAACUGGAGAGUCAGAGAGAGGUCAAACGAACAAUGAGAAGAGGACUGAUCGGGCAAAAGGCUUGAAAUCACCUGUGCAGCAGGCAGAGGCUGAGGCACUGCAGCAGGCCUUUCAUCCACAGACAGUGAGCCAGGAACAGCAACAGCAUGCAGGCGCCGGCCGAGCAGUAAACACUGAUCACCGUGCUCUCCUCCGGCAGGAAGCACUUGGACAGAGCGUAACUGCCGGGUGACACAGAGGCCUAAAAGGGGGGAGGAGUGGGAGACAAGGAUAAAUGGCUGAAGGACGGCACGCUGAUUUCCGGGUACUUGUUGUCAUGGAGAACCUCACAUCCGCUGUGGGUGUGUCCACUCAGGAUGAGGCGGGGCUUAAACCACUGCAGCAGCUGAAGAGAGAAAGCCCACAUCUACCUCAGAGGCCGGUUGCUGCUCGCUUACAUCAUCAGUUUCAUCAUCAUCAUCAUCAUCUACUGUUUCUAUACGGGACUAUUUCUGACCGUAGACUCUUGUACAGUAUUUAAUUGGAUGAAACCGCUUCAAAGGAGAGCCAUGCUUUGAGAGAGAGAGAGAGAG